rnacentral:rRNA from 1 species
GAUGAACGCUAGCGGGAGGCCUAACACAUGCCAGCCGAGCGGUAUUGUUUCUUCGGAAAUGAGAGAGCGGCGUACGGGUGCGUAACACGUGUGCAACCUGCCUUUAUCUGGGGGAUAGCCUUUCGAAAGGAAGAUUAAUACUCCAUAAUAUAUUGAACGGCAUCGUUUAAUAUUGAAAGCUCCGGCGGAUAGAGAUGGGCACGCGCAAGAUUAGCUAGUUGGUGAGGUAACGGCUCACCAAGGCGAUGAUCUUUAGGGGGCCUGAGAGGGUGAUCCCCCACACUGGUACUGAGACACGGACCAGACUCCUACGGGAGGCAGCAGUGAGGAAUAGUGGUCAAUGGGUGCAAGCCUGAACCAGCCAUCCCGCGUGAAGGACGACUGCCCUAUGGGUUGUAAACUUCUUUUGUAUAGGGAUAAACCUACCCUCGAGAGGGUAGCUGAAGGUACUAUACGAAUAAGCACCGGCUAACUCCGUG